AGAGUUUGAUCAUGGCUCAGAUUGAACGCUGGCGGAAUGCUUUACACAUGCAAGUCGAGCGGCAGCGCGGGGGCAACCUUGGCGGCGAGCGGCGAACGGGUGAGUAACACAUCGGAACGUACCCUAUCGUGGGGGAUAACACAUCGAAAGAUGUGCUAAUACCGCAUACGACCUGAGGGUGAAAGCAGGGGAUCGCAAGACCUUGCGCGACAGGAGCGGCCGAUGUCAGAUUAGCUAGUUGGUGAGGUAAAGGCUCACCAAGGCGACGAUCUGUAGCUGGUCUGAGAGGACGACCAGCCACACUGGAACUGAGACACGGUCCAGACUCCUACGGGAGGCAGCAGUGGGGAAUUUUGGACAAUGGGGGCAACCCUGAUCCAGCCAUUCCGCGUGAGUGAAGAAGGCCUUCGGGUUGUAAAGCCCUUUCGGCAGGAACGAAACGGUGUGAGUUAAUACCUCAUAUCAAUGACGGUACCUGAAGAAGAAGCACCGGCUAACUACGUGCCAGCAGCCGCGGUAAUACGUAGGGUGCGAGCGUUAAUCGGAAUUACUGGGCGUAAAGCGUGCGCAGGCGGUUUUGUAAGACAGAUGUGAAAUCCCCGGGCUUAACCUGGGAACUGCGUUUGUGACUGCAAGACUCGAGUGUGGCAGAGGGGGGUGGAAUUCCACGUGUAGCAGUGAAAUGCGUAGAGAUGUGGAGGAACACCGAUGGCGAAGGCAGCCCCCUGGGUCAACACUGACGCUCAUGCACGAAAGCGUGGGUAGCAA
rnacentral:rRNA from 1 species